rnacentral:rRNA from 1 species
UACGUAGGGUGCGAGCGUUAAUCGGAAUUACUGGGCGUAAAGCGUGCGCAGGCGGUUCGUUGUGUCGGCGGUGAAAGCCCCGGGCUUAACCUGGGAAUGGCCGUUGAAACUGGCGAACUGGAGUGUGGCAGAGGGGGGUGGAAUUCCGCGUGUAGCAGUGAGAUGCGUAGAGAUGCGGAGGAACACCGAUGGCGAAGGCAGCCUCCUGGGCCAGCACUGACGCUCAUGCACGAAAGCGUGGGGAGCAAACAGG